GACGAACGCUGGCGGCGUGCCUAAUACAUGCAAGUCGAGCGCAGGAAACUGACGGAACUCUUCGGAGGGAAGGCAGUGGAAUGAGCGGCGGACGGGUGAGUAACACGUAAGGAACCUGCCUCAAGGAUUGGGAUAACUCCGAGAAAUCGGAGCUAAUACCGGAUAGUUCAACGGACCGCAUGGUCCGCUGAUGAAAGGCGCUCCGGCGUCACCUUGAGAUGGCCUUGCGGUGCAUUAGCUAGUUGGUGGGGUAACGGCCCACCAAGGCGACGAUGCAUGGCCGACCUGAGAGGGUGAUCGGCCAAACUGGGACUGGGACACGGCCCAGACUCCUACGGGAGGCAGCAGUAGGGAAUCUUCCACAAUGGACGAAAGUCUGAUGGAGCAACGCCGCGUGAGUGAUGAAGGUUUUCGGAUCGUAAAACUCUGUUGUAAGGGAAGAACACGUACGAGAGGAAAUGCUCGUACCUUGACGGUACCUUAGGAGAAAGCCACGGCUAACUACGUGCCAGCCGCCGCCGUAA
rnacentral:rRNA from 1 species